rnacentral:rRNA from 1 species
AUUGAACGCUGGCGGCAGGCCUAACACAUGCAAGUCGAGCGGCAGCGGAAAGUAGCUUGCUACUUUGCCGGCGAGCGGCGGACGGGUGAGUAAUGUCUGGGAAACUGCCUGAUGGAGGGGGAUAACUACUGGAAACGGUAGCUAAUACCGCAUGACCUCGAAAGAGCAAAGUGGGGGAUCUUCGGACCUCACGCCAUCGGAUGUGCCCAGAUGGGAUUAGCUAGUAGGUGAGGUAAUGGCUCACCUAGGCGACGAUCCCUAGCUGGUCUGAGAGGAUGACCAGCCACACUGGAACUGAGACACGGUCCAGACUCCUACGGGAGGCAGCAGUGGGGAAUAUUGCACAAUGGGCGCAAGCCUGAUGCAGCCAUGCCGCGUGUGUGAAGAAGGCCUUAGGGUUGUAAAGCACUUUCAGCGAGGAGGAAGGCACCAUACUUAAUACGUGUGGUGAUUGACGUUACUCGCAGAAGAAGCACCGGCUAACUCCGUGCCAGCAGCCGCGGUAAUACGGAGGGUGCAAGCGUUAAUCGGAAUUACUGGGCGUAAGGCGCACGCAGGCGGUUUGUUAAGUCAGAUGUGAAAUCCCCGCGCCUAACGUGGGAACUGCAUUUGAAACUGGCAAGCUAGAGUCUUGUAGAGGGGGGUAGAAUUCCAGGUGUAGCGGUGAAAUGCGUAGAGAUCUGGAGGAAUACCGGUGGCGAAGGCGGCCCCCUGGACAAAGACUGACGCUCAGGUGCGAAAGCGUGGGGAGCAAACAGG